UAGGGAAUCUUCCACAAUGGACGCAAGUCUGAUGGAGCAACGCCGCGUGAGUGAAGAAGGUUUUCGGACCGUAAAGCUCUGUUGUUGGUGAAGAAGGAUAGAGGUAGUAACUGGCCUUUAUUUGACGGUAAUCAACCAGAAAGUCACGGCUAACUACGUGCCAGCAGCCGCGGUAAUACGUAGGUGGCAAGCGUUGUCCGGGUUUAUUGGGCGUAAAGCGAGCGCAGGCGGAAGAAUA
rnacentral:rRNA from 1 species